GCUAAUUGUGGGUAAUUAUGGGGAAAUCGGUAAUCAGGGGCUAAUUAGGGAUGAUAGGGGGUAAUCAGAUGUUGAUGGGAGUCAUUGGAGACUAAUAGGCAGUCAUAAGGGGUUAAUAGAGGGUGAUUAGGUGCUAAUAGGACUAAGUAGGGGUGAAUUGGGAAUUAUUAGCGACUAAUUGGGGUCAUUAGAAGACAAUAAGGAGAUAAGGGGUGUCAUUAGAAGCUAAUAAAGUAACGCUAUGGGCUAAUUGGGAAUCAUUAGAAGCUAACUGGGGUUUAUUAGGGGCUAAUUGGGGGUCAUCAGGAGCAAAUUGAGGGUCGCUAGAUACUAAUGAGAGUCAUUGAUGCCUUACAAGGCAUCAUUAGGGAUUAAUAAGGGGUCAUUAGCGGCUAAUUGGGGGUCAUUAGGGGCUUUCGAUGCCAAUGGGGAUCAUUAGAGGCUAAUAGGGGGUUAUUAGGAGCUCAUUGAGGCCAAUUAGGGGCCGAUCGGUGGCCGUUAGCGGGUAAGAAGGGGCUAUUAGGACCUAAGGGGGGGCGGGCAGAGGCUGGCGAGCGCCUAACGAGGCAUUAAUUAGCCGCUAAUGACCCGCAGUGCCCGCAAUGGGUGGGCCGCACGCUGAGGGUCCUGGAGAAGUGCGGCCGCAAUUUACUGCAGCGCCGCCCCCCCCCCCUCCUGGCAACGCCUGCGCUGCCCCAGCCCGGCCCUGCGCCCCGACCCGCCCGUCCUCCAGGUACCGCCUUCAUUAACGCCUGCUUAAUUGCGCCGCUUCGUUAGCGCCUCGCCUGCUGCUGGACGGGGUUCCAAGGCUUGGCCACGCCCCCAAACACGGUUGGCCACGCCUCCAGGCUCGGUUGGCCACGCCCACUCUAGGUUCAUCGGUCACGCCCCCAGGCUUAGCUGGCCACACCCCCAAACCCGGUUGGCCACGCCCCCAAGAGUGUAGGCCACGCCCCCCCGAAGGGCAUACGGCCACGCCCCCAGGCUCGGUUGGCCCCGCCCACUCAAGGUUCAUUGGCCACGCCCCCAGACUUAACUGGCCACGCCUCCAAGAGUGUAGGCCACGCCCCCCAAAGAGUGUAGGCCACGCACCCGAAAAGCCCCAUUACCACCCCAUAGGGCCCCAUAGAGCCCCAAAGCCACCCCAUAGAGCGCCAUAGUCCCAUUGAGCCCCAUAGGGCCCCCAUACAGCCUCAUAACCACCCCAUAGAGCCACAUAGCCACUCCAUAGACCCCAUAGAGCCCCAUAGGCACCUCAUAUAGCCCUAUAGUGCCUUAUAGUGCCGCGCACCCGCUACAUAGACCCGAUAGAGCCCCAUAGGCACCCCAUAGAGCCCCAUAGGCACACCACAGCGCCCCAUAACCACCCCAUAGUGCCCCCAUAGAGCCCCAUAGCCACCCCAUAGCAACCCCACAGAACCCUGCAUUGCCUUAUAGAGCCGCACAGCCACUCCAUAGACCCCAUAGAGUUCCAUAGGCAUGCCAUAGACCCCAUAGAGCCCCAUAACCCCCCCAUAGACCCCUCAUAGAGCCCCAUAGGCACCCCAUAGAGCCCCAUAGCCGCCCCAUAGGGCCAUAGAGCCCUAUAACCAAUGCAUAGAGCCCCAUAGAGCCCCAUAGCCACCCCACAGAGCCCUGUAGUGCCUUAUAGUGCUGCACAGCCACUCCAUAGACCCCAUAGAGCCCCAUAG
ensembl:lncRNA